GAUGAACGCUGGCGGCGUGCCUAAUACAUGCAAGUCGAGCGAACGGACGAGAAGCUUGCUUCUCUGAUGUUAGCGGCGGACGGGUGAGUAACACGUGGAUAACCUACCUAUAAGACUGGGAUAACUUCGGGAAACCGGAGCUAAUACCGGAUAAUAUUUUGAACCGCAUGGUUCAAAAGUGAAAGACGGUCUUGCUGUCACUUAUAGAUGGAUCCGCGCUGCAUUAGCUAGUUGGUAAGGUAACGGCUUACCAAGGCAACGAUGCAUAGCCGACCUGAGAGGGUGAUCGGCCACACUGGAACGGAGACACGGUCCAGACUCCUACGGGAGGCAGCAGUAGGGAAUCUUCCGCAAUGGGCGAAAGCCUGACGGAGCAACGCCGCGUGAGUGAUGAAGGUCUUCGGAUCGUAAAACUCUGUUAUUAGGGAAGAACAUAUGUGUAAGUAACUGUGCACAUCUUGACGGCACCUAAUCAGAAAGCCACGGCUAACUACGUG
rnacentral:rRNA from 1 species